CAUCGAUAACGAUAUGUGUAUUUUCCUGCUCUCUCUGCACCAACACAAAACACGCAACUAAAUUUCGGUUAAAAACCCCAGCUAAAAACAAUGUAAUCGAAACGGAAUCAUAUAAAGUGAUUAAAUGGCCAACGCGGCGGCGCCGAAAUGCGAGCGCAGUGCAUUUUCCGGAUAAAAUCGCGUUUUCGGGGAAACUUACACAAACAUUUUUUUUCGUAAGCGCUCUCAUGUUGUCUCUUUCGCACAGCAGAAUUACUAGUUGCUGUGUGUGUGCGUGCGUGCGUUUGUGUGUGCCGUAUGCCGUAUGCCAGUGUGUGCGUGCGUGAUUGUGUGUGUGAGUGACUUUGACUGCAGUUCGCGUACGUUUUUUAUUAAUACACCACAUAACAACAAUCACAACAACAAACAGUAAUGGAAACUAAACAUAUUUAAUGCGCGGAGACCAGAAAUCGUCUGAAACGGCAAGGCUUUAUCACCAUCGCCACCACCACCAACAGCACAGCAACAACAACAAAUUACUACAGCAUGUAUGCUAGUGUGCGUAAACGUAUUUGUGUUAAAUAAUGUUUAAACUGGCAUUUCUGAUUUCGCACACAAAACAAUAUUAAGUUGAAGUCACCAGCAGAGAGGAGCAAUUGGAGUAAUCGAAAAAGAGCCAACGUUAUCAUUAAAAUUCGCCUCAAAUACAAGCAAUAAUACAUUAUAUAAAUAAAACCCGAAAGAAAAAAGUUCAACUUCUAGUAAAGAAAGCAAACAAAGUUUAGAAACACUUGCAUUAACGAAAUCGUAGCCAUUAGCUUUAACAAAGUCGCGUAAAAAUUUUGAGCAGAACUUAGCAAGCCUAUAAAGUCUAAGUAAUGAAUAAUAGAUUUUAUAUAUGCGCCCCAAGUGCUUAAUUAACAACAACAUCAACAACUACAGCAACAACACCACACAACCAAAUCAAGAUUAAAAAUAAUAAAAACUAUGUAGAGCAACAACAACCUCAACAAACAGCGAAUCGAGCAAUAUUAUCAAUAAUAACUCUGUACAUUGUUAAACGUUAAAAAUUGAAAUUCAAACAACGCUAACAACCUGCCAGUAUCAACAACAAAUAAAACAA